AGUGAAUUUCUUCUGUUUGGUUUAAAAGAAAACUAAAAAGAAAAAGAAAACCAUUAUCACUGCAGAAAAAUAGCUAUCUAUUUUUUCGUUUUCCCUUUCUCUCCGCUGCCCAGGUGAAAACGAAGGAGAAUCGGUCGCUCGAGCUUCCGACUUUCCCCGAUCGAUCAAUGUCCACUCUCUCCAAAACUCCGGCCGAUCAAUCUCCUCUCUCUCUCUUCCCUCAUUCUCUCUGCAAAACUUCGACCGAUCAGUCUCUAAAACCCUAGUUCGACACCGACCGAAGCUUUGACGCCGAUCAAAUCCUAGUUCGACGUCGAUCAAACCAAGACUGUAGCUCUCCUUCAACGUUCCUCCCCAUCUCACCGAUGAGCAAGGGAAUUGGCACGCUGUGGCGAUCGCUGCGUUGAUCGAUGAUGUUGGGGCUGCUGCGAUCAUGACGGUCGUUGGGCACAUCAAGAUCUCCGUUGACUUCUCCAUUUCCUAUUUCUCUCCUGCUGCAAAGAUCAAUGGGAUGAAGGAUGCGAGAUUGAUGUUUUGAUGGGCUCACUAAAGUCAAAAACCAAGGACUUCGGCAUAUUUUUCUCUCUCUAUUUGGUUAAGAUUCUCUAUAUAUGAAAUUGAUUGUAAUAUAUUUUGUUAGUUAAGGUUUUUUAUAUGAAAUUGAUUGUAAUAGACUUUGUGACUAGAAACGGAUUAUAUACUUUAUAUUAGGAAUAUCAUGAUAUUUACUUUAGAUUU